AGUGAACGCUGGCGGUAGGCCUAACACAUGCAAGUCGAACGGCAGCACAGGAGAGCUUGCUCUCUGGGUGGCGAGUGGCGGACGGGUGAGGAAUACAUCGGAAUCUACCCUGUCGUGGGGGAUAACGUAGGGAAACUUACGCUAAUACCGCAUACGACCUACGGGUGAAAGCAGGGGACCUACUGGCCUUGCGCGAUUGAAUGAGCCGAUGUCGGAGUAGCUCGUUGGCGGGGUAAAGGCCCACCAAGGCACCGAUCCGUAGCUGGUCUGAGAGGAUGAUCAGCCACACUGGAACUGAGACACGGUCCAGACUCCCACGGGAGGCAGCAGUGGGGAAUAUUGGACAAUGGGCGCAAGCCUGAUCCAGCCAUACCGCGUGGGUGAAGAAGGCCUUCGGGUUGUAAAGCCCUUUUGUUGGGAAAGAAAUCCAGCUGGCUAAUACCCGGUUGGGAUGACGGUACCCAAAGAAUAAGCACCGGCUAACUUCGUGCCAGCCGCCGCCGUAA
rnacentral:rRNA from 1 species